rnacentral:SRP_RNA from 1 species
GCCGAGUCAGGUAGCGUUGUCUUGUAACCCAAGCGGGGGCAAAUGAGGUUUGGAAUGGUCUAUGGAGCCACAGCUGGGUUGGUUGCGAUCGUGUAGAAGCCUGGCCUGCCCGUUCCAAGUCAGGUAGCUGAGCCAUGCGGCUUGGGCGAAGGCCUGUGAUUCAUGGUUCUUAGAGCAGAGGGCACCGCGUCAGGCUGGCUUCACAGAGCAACGAUAACCGCUCUCUCUUGACGGUGGGAGGAUUACAGGUCGGCGCACAUCGCAUCCACCACGCCCACCUCCCCUCCUUAGACCAGACCACGGCCUUU